rnacentral:rRNA from 1 species
CACGAACGCUGGCGGCAUGCCUAACACAUGCAAGUCGAACGAAGGCUUCGGCCUUAGUGGCGCACGGGUGCGUAACGCGUGGGAAUCUGCCCUUUGGUUCGGAAUAACAGCUGGAAACGGCUGCUAAUACCGGAUGAUGACGAAAGUCCAAAGAUUUAUCGCCAGAGGAUGAGCCCGCGUUGGAUUAGGUAGUUGGUGGGGUAAAGGCCUACCAAGCCGACGAUCCAUAGCUGGUCUGAGAGGAUGAUCAGCCACACUGGGACUGAGACACGGCCCAGACUCCUACGGGAGGCAGCAGUGGGGAAUAUUGGACAAUGGGCGCAAGCCUGAUCCAGCAAUGCCGCGUGAGUGAUGAAGGCCCUAGGGUUGUAAAGCUCUUUUACCCGGGAAGAUAAUGACUGUACCGGGAGAAUAAGCCCCGGCUAACUCCGUG